GCCAGGGUCUCCGCGGUCCCUCGCUCGGCCAGGGAGGGGGCCCUGGCUUCGCCUCGGCCGUUUCCUGCCUACCCCCUCCCCGCCGAGGUAUAUUUCCCUUCCUCCAUGAUCUCCAACACUGAGAAAGUGGAAGAAACUGAGGUACCGUGAAAGAGAAAAGUAACUGGAACUGAGAAAAGAAAGAGGAUACUUGCUUUUGGGACCUGACCAUCAUGCUAUGACCACCUGACCAUGCUAUGAGGGAACAAGCUGCUUGCGUAGAGGCCCUCAUGGAGAACUAACAGCUGCUAUCAACUUGCCAGACAUGUUAAGUGAGACAUUUGGAAAUGAAUCCUCCAGCUCCCAGCAGUCCAGCUACUUGAUACCUUCUGGAGUGGAAAUGAGUUGUCCCACCCUAAACCCAGCCCAAAUUAUACAUUCAUUAGCAAAAUAAAUAAUGGGUUUUUUUUAAGCCACUUAAGUUUGGGAUGUCUUAUUAAGCAGUGAUAGGUAACUGGAACAGCAUCCUAUGUCUGUCAUGCCUGGAGGUGGUACAAGUCACUGGGUGAGUGGGUAGUCUAUGACUUUUAGCAAAGUACUGAACUUCUCUGUUUUUCAGUUUCCUUUUUUUCAGUGUAAAUAAAAACAGUAUUUAAGUUCAUUGUGAGAAUUAAGUGAUGAAUGCAGGUAAAAGCAGACCUGCAGGUAAUACAGAUCAGUCUUUGUGAUCAUCUCUGGCAGCCUCUUAUCAUUGUUUCGUUACUCUCGUGAUUGUUUCUCUAUUGUACUUUUAAUAUAUGUGUAUGUAUAUAUAUAUAUGUAUGUGUAUAUUUACACAGCUUUUAAUAAUAUCUGAAAUGAUCUUGUUUGUUUAUUAUUUAUUCCACCAAAGUAUGAGUCCCAAGCAGAGACCUUGCCUGUAUUAAUCACUGCUCUACCCCCAAUACCUGAAACAGUGCCUGGCACAAAGUGCUUGAUAGCUUUGGUUAAUGGAUGGAUGAACAGCACUUUCACACUACUCUCUUUCCAGUAGUAGUCUUGCCUUUGUUGUGAACAUAAAAUAUUCACUGACCAAGACUCUCAGGCAAUGAAGGGUCAUUGUGUGAUGCGUUUCCCAUCAAUGAGACGUACGCAGUGUUCUGCUAAGAAUGUCUGAUAGAGGCACUGCCCUUUCUUCCUUCACCUUUUCCUCCUCCUUGCCCACUAUGCCGGCUAAAAAUAAAGCAGCCAAAAAGGUGAUAAACAUGAGGACAAAAAUGGGGAAAUAGGAGCUACCUGCCACAUCGAUGACCUAUCUAGUAGAGUCACAACAUCACACACUCUUCUGUGAGAAAAAUUAACCUUUUGGACUUACCUAUGCCCACCCAGCCCCGCAGUCAAGCUUCUGUUACUUGCAGCCCAAUAGUUCUCAAUGGAUACACUAUUACAGGGUAUAUUUACCCCUCUAGGCUGUUCAUUAAAGGCAAGUUACAUAUUUCAUCUUCCUUACUACUCUAUAGGAGGACUGGAAGAAUUUAUCAGUACAUAUGUCACUAUCCAGAUCAACUCUUCAAAUAUUGAGAUCAGGCAAGUAGCAAGAGACAACCACAUUAACAUCUGAACCUAUUUGGUUCCUGAGUUCAGACAUUUCAAAUAGUGGGGAUUACAUGUACAAUUCUUUCCUGAAACAAGCCUGUAUCUGUUGCCACUCUAUGCCAAGCAUAUGCUGCUGUUGGGGGAUACAGAGAUGACUGAAGCUGGAUGCCCAACUUCCCACUAACACGAAGCUCCCAAAGAGCAAGUGUUGAGCCGCUCCCAGUAAGAGAGAAACUAAGAUUCUUACUUCCAUCUUGCUCCUUAUCUCAGCUUCUUUACUCCUGACCCUGUUUGUUUCACUUCACUUUCUCAUUCACCGUGCGCUUGGGCUGCAUAUAUAUUUGUGUUUUGAAUUCCUAAUCUUUGACUUCCAAGAUCUUUCCAGUUUCCAGUUUUCUCUACCACUGCUUUCUCUACUGCUAAACUCCCAUGUGCCUUUCCUAAUCCAGCAUAAAGUGGCUGUUCUCCCACUAUCAAGCUAUCUUUGUGGUUUACCAAAACUCAGCUGUGAGGCUCAGUGCAUUACCUUUUCUUGAUGUCAUGACUGGGUGUUAUGGUCCUAAGUCCACAUAAUAGAUCCUCUGACUCAGCUCCAAGGUACAACCAGAUCAGAAUUUAGGAGAAUAAUAAAAUGUUGCCAUUAAACUCAACCCCAGGGAUAAAGCCUUUGGAAUUUCUGUAGUGGCAACAUGAGUGUAACAGAUUGAAGCAGACCAUUAGGUGCCAGGAAUCCUGGUACUACAUUAGACUGUCACCUUUGAUAUUUUAAGGGUCUAUAAGUUAGUGGGUAUGUGUGUGUUCUGUUUGAGGGGCAGGGGUUAGACCACUUUGAGACUCAUAGAAACUACAGCACCUUUCUCCAAAAUAAUAAACAUCUGCAUACAUGUUCACAGAAAAUAUUGAGAAACCAUUUCUGGAGGUCCAGGUUAAGAAUCCACCUGUAGUUUGCCAUGAGGGUGGAAACUUUCUGUACCAUAAUUUGGUCCUUUAUCAUGUACUUUUUACAUUUACUUUUUCCAUAUGUAUAUGCUUUUUCCCAUUCAGCAGGUAUGCUUCCUGCAAGGAACUCUGUAGUAUCCCCAAUGAUUAUGUGCAUAUAGGACUCAGCUUUGUGGAAAUUACUUGCCAGCUGAAUCCUUUGAAACUGCUGAUUUAUUGAGGACAAGCAGCUUUUCUUUCAUUACCCCAAUCUUCACCCCACCUCCUUCGAAAAUUAAGAUCAUCACAAGAGGACUUGGACCCUUCCAUCCACUUACAUACUAUUUGCUUUCUAGGUUUUAGGCCUCAGUGUUAUUUCCAUACUCCUCAUGCAAAUAUCCAGUCUUAAAUAGUUAGAGAACAAGGUAGCACAUAAUAGAAAGCUUUAUACCAAAAAAGAAAAAAAAAUUGAUAGCAAAUUUAUUUUUAAAAUAAAUUAAUGUACAGUUGACCUUUGAACAACAUGGGGAUUAGGGGCACCAAAAUCCCACACAGUAAGAUUCCUUGUAUUGAUGGCCCCAAGACUACAGUUGACUCUUAACAGUAUUAAGUUUGAACUCCACACAUCCACUUAUACACUUAUUUAUUUUUCAAUAAAUACAACUGGCCCUCCAUUCCUAUGGGUUCAACAUGCGCAGCUUCAACUGGAUGUGGAAUCUGCAUAUGAAACCCUGAUUACAAGGGCCCUGAGUACCUGUGGAUCUUGAUAACUGGUUCCUGUAAGCAAUCCCCCAGAGAAACCCAGGGACCAUUGUAGUUAAGUUUCUGAGGAGUCGAAUUAUACACAGAUUUUUGACUGCAGGGAAUUGGUCCCCCAACCCCUGCUUUGUUCAAAGGUCAAAUAUAGUAAUAGCCUGGUAUUGACUGGAUGCCUUACCAAUUAACAAACAGUUGAUUUCACAUACUUUUUGUAUGUAUGAUAUAAUGUAUCCUUUAUAAUAAAGUAAGCUAGAUAAAAGCAAGUGUUAAGGAAAUAUCAAGUGAAAAUAUUUAUAAUACUGUUCUGUAUUUAUUGUUACUAUAGGUUGAAGUUCCCUGUUUAUUAAAAAAUCCAUACAGUUUAAACUCAUGUUCAAGGGUCACCCUUUCUCUUAUCUUAAAAAUGUAUGGUACUUGUUCCUUCCACAGCUUUGUGCCUCGCCCCAUACACACCCACACCUGUAAUCAGACCCCCUACUAGUCAUAGCCCAUGAUUUCAUUUCUCAAAUCACCCCCCUUUCCUGGCAUGUGCUCCUGGGGAAAGAAAAGAACAAACAGAAAAGAAUAAACCUAAAUGAUAAUAGAAUAGUAGCCAUGUGGGGGGGGGUUUUGGUUUGUUUUUUUCUUAUCCUUCCCUCCCACCUAUAAUUUCCACAGGAUCAUCUUUAAUUCUAACCU